AUGUUGAUUCCUCACAACUCCUCACUUGAUUUGCUUGCUGCUGAAGCCACGUUGAGUCCAAUGUACUUUACACGCUGCACGCCUGGAGUAUGCAUCCAAGACGACCUUACUGCUACGACCGGGACCAGCUUGCAGAUCUUCUCCUUCAAGAUCGCGAAGAUUAAAGGCGACUUAAAGUGGCCUCUCUAUGUGUAUGGCAUGGUUGCUAGGGACGAAGUGGAUUUCAACCGCAACAUUCUCUUCAAUCGAACAAGGAAUAACGCCCAAGAAGUCACAGAAGAUGAUCCAUUUUUACGCUUGAUUGGCCCAGCUCGGGCAAUUUUGCCUGAACUUGAGUUUGAAGUCGAACUAAGGGUUAAGGGCAGAACAAAGUCUCACGAUAAAGCAUUGAUCAAUAAAAGAUACCCUUUCAUCAAUUAGGGUACUGGUCUCUUCACCCUUGACUUAAACAACUGUCGUUGUAGAAUCGAGUUAAGCCUGGACUAACUUACGAAUUCAGUUCAGGCCACUAUCAUGGGUGUCCGGAUCGUUAAGGGUGGCCCGUGGACAUUCAAAUACGGGGGCCGAGUUGCUUCCUCGUCACCACCUCAUGAAGUUUGGGUCAUAGAUAGUCAAGGCACUGUUUUGGAGGUUACUGAUCCGCCAUCCAUACAAGUUGUGUUGCUUGAUUCUCGAUAUUGUGAUAGUGGAGAAAUGCCAAUGGGUACUGAUGGUUACCUUGAUCUAACAAGGCGUGUUGUCUCUGUGGAAUUACGAGAAAGCCAUGUUUAUUAUCCAAAAAAGUUUGAAGAGACCUUCAAAGUUGUCAUACAAGCCUAUUCAGAAUCUGGUGAUGUUGCUGCACAAGGUCAUGUCAAGCUCACCCCCAAACUUUGCAACAUAAGUCAAGCUGUAUGUGACCUUGGCGACUCCAAGGUGGAGAUUACCGUUGCUUGGUCGGCCCAUGUUGAAAGCAACAUAUUCCUUUGA
rnacentral:rRNA from 1 species